UUGUCCCUGUCCCAAAGCCCAGGAUCUAUUUGAAAUCCUUUGAUGCUUAUAUUCAUCACACCUGUUCGGUUGUUUUACCUCCAAAUAGCUGCUCUGUGGCUCGUCUUAAUCACAGUGCUCUUCUGUGCAGUCACAGGAAUUCUACUGGGGAAGAUUCCCGGAUAUUGUAAGCUUGUAGAAGGAUAGAGCGAUGUCCCCAGUAAUGCAGCAGAGACUAACCACAACAGGCUCCGGCACAACAUCACUAAGUGAGUCCGGUUCUCUGUCUCCUGCACUCUCUUUCCUCACUCAUCACUACAGCUGUCAGCCUUCUGGGUCCUUAUUGUGUUGUGCCAAGGGAUUAAACUUCUGGUUCUUCCCUUCCAGGAUGUGUCCACAAAGUUUUUCUUCACUCCAUUACUAUCUAGAAACUUUCCUUCUUGCUCUUUUUCUGUUGAAUUUCUCCAUACUUUUUGUCUCUCCCCAUAAGUCUCUCUGAUGGCAUUCACCAGGCUGCCUCCUGCCAUAGUCAUACCCUGCUGGAAAGUAAAUCACGAGUCACCCAAUUUUCUUCCCUUUUUAUUAUUCUUGUUUUUGCUAGGGGAGUUCAAGUGAACGAACAACCCCUGCAGACCUGGUGCUUUUCAGGAGCCUUAUACUCAUGGCCAGAACAAGUACAUAGGACAGGAUGAGAACCCAGCUAGACUGCAAAUAUUAGCCAUAGACCCAAAAACACAGACCUGUUUGAAUUCAGAGUAGCCAACAACACAAUUUGAAAUUAUUUUUCUGUGUCUCAGUCAUUCUCUUUAGCCAUAGUCAAAACCAUUUUAUGUACAUCCUUCUAUGGCUGCUGGUGUCACUCACCUUGUGUAGUGGGUACAAAGCCUUCCUCGUGUAAGCGCUUCUUUUGAAGGGGGAAGAGUGCAGGGUCUGGUGUGCAGCAGGAGUUAUUGAACAGAAGGCCUCGAAACAGAACUGUUGCUGGAGGGCUGUUUCUCUGAAACUUCAAACCCAGUGUGGAAAGCAUCAGGUCCAAAGUGAACUUUGUUUUCUUCUGUUUCAUAUUUUAGAAUUCCCUAAUUCUCUUCCAAGUGGAUUUGGGUAUGUUUAUGUUUCUUUUCAGCAGAGGGGAUAAUUAAAAUGCAGUUGUGAAUGCUAGUAAACAUUUUACACAAUCAUUUGUUCAUUAACAAGAAGUUUCCAAGGUAGUUACGUUUUAGCUCUAAAUUUUCAGCUUCUCUACCACCAGAUUCACAGAUAGACUAGGAUCAACAGUCUUACUAGUUGACAUGUUGAAACAGGACUACAGCUCUAGUGUAGCUUUAUCUUUUCUGUACCUUUUUGGGAGAAGUAUACACAUGCUCCUGAGCAAUUGAUUAUAAUCUUUCUAGAAGGGAUACUUUUGUUUCCUUGAGAUGUGGUGACUAGAGAUGAUUUAGUGUGUUGCUGUGCCCUGGAAAAUGUCUUAAAAGCUAAAAGUGUCCUGCUUUAUUUUUUUAUUAUUAUUUCAGGAAGGACACGUUUAGAAAAUCAGGAUGUGGAUGUCAUUUCUUCACUGAAAUUUUUAGGUGUCUUGUCUUCUUAUUUGAAGUGGUAUUCUCUUCUUCAAGUCCGGGCUCUCAGACUGCCUUUAUGGCUUAUGCUGGCACCACUAGCCCUUGAUGCAAGCAGAGUCCUGCAGUAUAGAUGGCUGCAGUUCUACUGUAUUGUGACAUGUAGGUGCCACACUGCAGCUGGCAGCCAGGUGUCUGGUAGGCAGGCUGCUAUUAGUUCCCUGAGCACUGGGAUGGCCGCAGGGCACUGCAGGAAGACUGGGACUGUGAGGAGCUGAAUAAAAGAGGCCAAAUGGAAGAUAGAAGUGGAUAGAGGAGAUUCAUGGCUACGUUAGAGCAGAGGAGUUGAGUGCUAAUAUUCUGAUGGCAUGAUCAAGUAGCUGGCAAGACACAUCUGCUGCCAUGAGAUGCCUCAGCCAAGGAUUUUGAGCCAAGAUAUGAGGGAAAUGAUUUAACCAGAUGUGUGCCCAUGUCUGCAAAACAGAAUUUUAAAUGCUGAAAUUUAAAAGCUUGCCAUCAUCUCCCCUGCCUCCCAGCAGCAAGGGAAGACUGAAAUCACUGAGAAUGGAAUCCAGUCCAUCUUCUGCUCUCCAAAUGCAGCGACAUCAUUUAUGGACUGAUCUUCUACAGCUUCCUUUGAGCACUAGAAUUUCCAGGUGCAUGUUUUCAGAGCACAAACAACCCCAGAAAAGCUGCUUUUCAAAAGGUAUGUCAUCUCUUGUUUAAACCAAAAAAAAUGAAAACUGAACUGUGAAAAAAUG